CGGAUAUAUCACGUUGAAACACUGGUCCUGAUCUGAUCAUCAAAGUUAAGCAAUGUUGAGUCUGAUCAGUACCUAGAUGGGUGACCACUUGGGAAUAUCAGGUGCUAUA
rnacentral:rRNA from 1 species